rnacentral:rRNA from 1 species
UACGUAGGUGACAAGCGUUGUCCGGAUUUACUGGGCGUAAAGAGCGCGCAGGCGGUCGUUCAAGUCGAGUGUGAAAGCCCCCGGCUCAACUGGGGAGGGUCAUUCGAUACUGAUCGACUCGAAGGCAGGAGAGGGUAGUGGAAUUCCCGGUGUAGUGGUGAAAUGCGUAGAGAUCAGGAGGAACACCCGUGGCGAAGGCGGCCCUCUGGCUCGACCCUGACGCUGAGAGGCGAAAGCGUGGGGAGCGAACGGG